rnacentral:rRNA from 1 species
UAGGGAAUCUCCACAAUGGACGAAAGUCUGAUGGAGCAACGCCGCGUGAGUGAAGAAGGUUUUCGGAUCGUAAAGCUCUGUUGUUGGUGAAGAAGGAUAGAGGUAGUAACUGGCCUUUAUUUGACGGUAAUCAACCAGAAAGUCACGGCUAACUACGUGCC